UUCCAGACUCCUACGGGAGGCAGCAGUGAGGAAUAUUGGUCAAUGGCCGGAAGGCUGAACCAGCCAAGCCGCGUGAAGGACGAAGGUGCCAAGCAUUGUAAACUUCUUUUGUCAAGGGACAAAAUCAGGCUCGAGAGCCUGACCGAGGGCACUUGAAGAAAAAGCAUCGGCUAACUCCGUGCCAGCAGCCGCGGUAAUACGGAGGAUGCGAGCGUUAUCCGGAUUUAUUGGGUUUAAAGGGUGCGUAGGCGGACUGGAAAGUCAGCGGUAAAAUCGAGAGGCUCAACCUCUUUCCGCCGUUGAAACUGUCGGUCUUGAGUGGGCGAGAAGUAUGCGGAAUGCGUGGUGUAGCGGUGAAAUGCAUAGAUAUCACGCAGAACUCCGAUUGCGAAGGCAGCGUACCGGCGCCCAACUGACGCUGAAGCACGAAGGCGUGGGUAUCGAACAGGAUUAGAUACCCGAGUAGAG
rnacentral:rRNA from 1 species